GUACUUGCUUCAGCAGCACAUAUAUUAAAUUGGAAUGAUACAGGGAUGAUCCUGACCCCUGCACAAGGAUGACACAGAACUUUGUGAAACGUUCCACAAUUUU
ensembl:snRNA U6 U6 spliceosomal RNA